GGCACGUGGGCUAACUGGACAGUGAUUUGUAGGCAUGACUUGGCAACAUUCAGACAGUUCACAAUGAAGUUGUGGACCUGAGUCUGAACUCAUCAUCUCAAGGACUGAUCUCUCAUUCAUAUACUGAAGAUCUAUAGACUGGGUUUAGGAACUAAGGACUGUAACACUAUAAGACUGGUUUAAUUAAUUAAAAUCAUUGUUGACUUGUACUCUGCAUGUAUGGCUGAAGUGUGUUUCUUAUUUUAUUGUCAUUUUUCAUGAUUUAAUCUCAUUUCUGUUUAUAAGUCA